GACCACAUCCUCCUCCUUUCUAGGGUUAGCAAUGAUUUAGCAUCUAGUUGAGCAUUGCUCCUUCCACUAGCUCUCCCAUGGAGAUGCCUCCAUGUGAGAAGAUCCCCUAGUGGAUGUCAAGGCCACUUGCGAGGGAAGAUCCCUAGUGGAUUCAAGGCCCCAUCUCCCCAUAUGGGAUUUGGGAUGAACUCUGCCAUGUAUCCUCUUUUCCUUUUUUUGUUCUUGUACCUUUGUGGAUCUUGUGUGGAUGUAUGAUUGCUCUU
rnacentral:lncRNA from 1 species